GCAUGGAAGUUCCAAGCUUGGCUUUCAUGGAAUCGACAGUGAUGGAGGUGUCAUCUCGAGAUCUUCUCAAGAGCAGUGAGUCCAAGUCCUCCAAAGAUCUGGGAGCGAGCGAGCUUUACAGCGUCUGCGGCAGCUGCUCCAUCUCCCGAUUCCGAUGCGUACUCCGCGACCUGAGACUCAGAUAAACUUAAGAACAAAUGAAAAAGAAGGAUCGAUUUUUACAGCACGAAUGUUGCUCCUGAGGGAUCCUGCUGGUCCGGAACGAAGAAGGGACCGUGCGUCUUGAUACUCGACCUUCUCGCCUCCAAGUUUGGCUUCUACUUCCAGCGUCAUCAACGUAAGGAUGAUACCUGGGAUAUAAGUCUCUAGUGGAUCCAGCUUCUUUCUGUGGAAUGGCCCGCUCGAGCAUCUGGAUGGACGAGAAGCAGCCAUUCACUUGUCAGCCCAAUCCAGACCGAGACGAAGUUUUCUCUACCUUCGGUGACGGAAGUGAAGAGUCCAG